GGAGUUGGGGGAAAGAGGAGGAGGAUAGGUGAAGUUGUAAGACGGCGCUGAGGAGGCGUUUGUUUUCCCUCAGGACUCUGUGAAGAUAAGACGUUCUCUGUUAUAGAGGACUGCAGGAAGCUGGUUGAUGUAGGCUGUGCAGCAUUAUUGGACCUGCCUUACCUGUUCCUACUGCCGCAGUCGCAGAAGACAAAAAACACGAGAAUACUGACUCGGGAGUUUUGUGAUCCAAAGGCCUUGGAUGUAGGAGUGAUUGUGUGCCACCAUAGUCCAAAGGCCCCCAUCUACACGUUGAUUGUGAGUCACCAUAGUCCAACGGCCCCCAUCUACACGUUGAUUGUGAGCCACCAUAGUCCAAAGGCCCCCAUCUACACGUUGAUUGUGAGCCACCAUAGUCCAAAGGCCCCCAUCUACAUGUUCAUUGUGAGCCACCUGUAUCAGAUAAAACCAUAAGGAUGCCAGAGUGGAAAAAAAUACUCUGCUACCUCUAAUAUGUAUGACUGCUACUUAACAUGAAAAGAUUGCUAA